rnacentral:rRNA from 1 species
AUUGAACGCUGGCGGCAGGCCUAACACAUGCAAGUCGAACGAGUGGCGGACGGGUGAGUAAUGUCUGGGAAACUGCCUGAUGGAGGGGGAUAACUACUGGAAACGGUAGCUAAUACCGCAUCCCAUCGGAUAUGCCCAGAUGGGAUUAGCUAGGAGGUGGGGUAAAGGCUCACCUAGGCGACGAUCCCUAGCUGGUCUGAGAGGAUGACCAGCCACACUGUAACUGAUACACGGUCCAGACGCCUACGGGAGGCAGCAGUGGGGAAUAUUGCACAAUGGGCGGAAGCCUGAUGCAGCCAUGCCGCGUGUAUGAAGAAGGCCUUCGGAUUGUAAAGCACUUUAAGUUGGGAGGCGUUACCCGCAGAAGAAGCACCGGCUAACUCCGUGCCAGCAGCCGCGGUAAUUC